rnacentral:misc_RNA from 1 species
CCAGAACAUCGAAUCAGAACCAAAAAUAAAAAACUAUAUCAAGAAUCGAAUAAGAACCAAAGAAUCGAAAGCUAUACCAAACUAAAGCAGAAAUAAUAAAGAACUACACCAAACUGAAAUUGCAUAUCCCUAACCGACACCCCUAUCUAGCGUCCAGUACCUCCAUGUAUAGGGAUGGCCAGUGAGCUUGCCCACCCCCGGUAAAGCUUCAAAAUUUCUAGCUCUUCUACUAUUACUUCGAUUGAGCAGAGACGGUGGACGAGGCUACUUUUUUCUGGCUAAGAGAAUGUCAUUCAGAACACGAUUCAGCUGCUUGCUGGCAGGUAGAUAAUAAUUUCGAGCAUUUCCAAUAAAAAAAAAAAAUCAGAAGACUUAAUGAAGC